GUCUACGGCCACACCACCCUGAACGUGCCCGAUGCCGUCUGACCUUGGAAGCUGAGCAGGGUCGGGCCUGGUCAGUAUUUGGAUGGGAGACCACCUAGGAAGACCAGGUGCCGUAGGCU
ensembl:rRNA 5S_rRNA 5S ribosomal RNA